rnacentral:rRNA from 1 species
AACGAACGCUGGCGGCGUGCCUAACACAUGCAAGUCGAGCGCGAAAGUUCUUCGGAAUGAGUAGAGCGGCGGACGGGUGAGUAACACGUGGAUAACGUACCUUUUGGUUUGGAAUAACUCGGGGAAACUCGAGCUAAUACCGACUAAUCCCACAAGUCGAGAGAUUUGUGGAGAAAGCGGGGGCACCCUUCGGGGUCCUCGCGCCGAAAGACCGGUCUUCGUCCCAUCAGCUAGUUGGUAGGGUAAAGGCCUACCAAGGCUAAGACGGGUAACUGGUCUGAGAGGAUGACCAGUCAAACUGGAACUGAGACACGGUCCAGACUCCUACGGGAGGCAGCAGUGGGGAAUAUUGGACAAUGGGGGGAACCCUGAUCCAGCCAUGCCGCGUGUGUGAAGAAGGCCUUAUGGUUGUAAAGCACUUUAAGCGAGGAGGAGGCUCUUUUGGUUAAUACCCAAGAUGAGUGGACGUUACUCGCAGAAUAAGCACCGGCUAACUCUGUGCCAGCCGCCGCCGUAA